AUUGAUUUUAUGCUUGCAUAAAUGAUUUUUGGAUUCGGAGCGAGUGGCGAACUGGUGAGUAACACGUGGGUAACCUGCCCCGAAGCGGGGGAUAACAUUUGGAAACAAGUGCUAAUACCGCAUAAUUAGUUGGAACCGCAUGGUUCCAACUUGAAAGAUGGCUCUGCUAUCACUUUGGGAUGGACCCGCGCCGUAUUAGUCAGUUGGUGAGAUAAAAGCCCACCAAGACGAUGAUACGUAGCCGACCUGAGAGGGUAAUCGGCCACAUUGGGACUGAGACACGGCCCAGACUCCUACGAGAGGCAGCAGUAGGGAAUCUUCCACAAUGGACGAAAGUCUGAUGGAGCAACGCCGCGUGAGUGAUGAAGGUUUUCGGAUCGUAAAACUCUGUUGUUAAAGAAGAACAAGUGUUAGAGUAACUGUUAACACUUUGACGGUAUUUAACCAGAAAGCCACGGCUAACUACGUGCCAGCAGCCGCGGUAAUACGUAGGUGGCAAGCGUUGUCCGGAUUUAUUGGGCGUAAAGCGAGCGCAGGCGGUUUUGUAAGUCUGCUGUGAAAGCCCUCAGCUCAACUGAGGAAGUGCAGUGGAAACUACAAAACUUGAGUACAGAAGAGGAAAGUGGAACUCCAUGUGUAGCGGUGAAAUGCGUAGAUAUAUGGAAGAACACCAGUGGCGAAGGCGGCUUUCUGGUCUGUUACUGACGCUGAGGCUCGAAAGCAUGGGUAGCGAACAGGAUUAGAUACCCUGGUAGUCCAUGCCGUAAACGAUGAAUACAAGGUGUUGGAGGGUUUCCGCCCUUCAGUGCCGCAGCUAACGCAUUAAGUAUUCCGCCUGGGGAGUACGACCGCAAGGUUGAAACUCAAAGGAAUUGACGGGGGCCCGCACAAGUGGUGGAGCAUGUGGUUUAAUUCGAUGCUACGCGAAGAACCUUACCAGCUCUUGACAUCUUCUGCCAACCCAAGAGAUUGGGCGUUCCCUUCGGGGACAGAAUGACAGGUGGUGCAUGGUUGUCGUCAGCUCGUGUCGUGAGAUGUUGGGUUAAGUCCCGCAACGAGCGCAACCCUUAUUAUUAGUUGCCAGCAUUUAGUUGGGCACUCUAGUGAGACUGCCGGUGAUAAA
rnacentral:rRNA from 1 species